GAGUCCACUUGAACAUAAUCCUAAACCAAAGCACAUCCUCACUAAAGUCCAGCGGUCUGAUGAAGGUCUCUACUCGUGUUAUACUGAUAUUCAUGAACGUUCUCCUCAGAGCAGACUGAGGGUCAGAGAUUCUCCUCCCAGUACAACCUCUCCUCUUCUUCUCGCUACUCCCUCCUCUUCCUCUCCACACUCUUCCUCCUCCCUUCCUCUUUAUCUCCUGGUCCUCCCUGUAGUCCUGGUCCUGGUUGGAGGUGUGGUUCUGUGGAGGAAACAGAGAGGAGGUCGGGGAGCAGAGCUGUGGAGCUGUGGAGGUGACGGCUGUCUGAGACGGAGCGUCUGCCUCUGCUUUUCAGGCCUGUUUCUGCUGACUGCUGCAGGUGUGUGUGUGCUGCUGCUGUCUGCUCUGACCGUUUCUACAGCUCCUCCUCCUCCCUGUGAGUCUGUGCUGAGACUCGUCUGCCAUCUAGUGGUCUUCUGUCCGUACUGCAUCUCCACUGGUCUGCUGCUGUCCAUCUGUUGGAGCAGGAAGACACCGAACAAACCGGCCGUCUCCAUGGAGAUGAGCCAGUGUGAUGGAGGAGGUCAGGGACUGGCUGAAGAUGGUGAUGAUGUCACUGCUGAUGUCACCACUGAGCAUGCCUUCUGAGCUGCAGACUGACAGCAUCUGCAGUAUUUCUGUAUCUUGGUUCCUCUUUUGCUGUAUUGGAGUAAAGUUCUAGUGUUUGCUGUCAGUAUGGAUUAGUUAGGUUUGAGUUUAUCGCUUCAUCCCUGUUUCCUGUGUAAGUCUGUCCUCUGUGCAUGUCUCUUAAAUCAUGUGUCCUCUGUCUGUAUUGUGCCUCCUGUACAUUCUCCCAGUGCAUCAUGUGCGUCUCCUCCCGUUGUCCUCCAAGUUCGUCUAGUUCUUCCGUUCUUCCCUCCCGUCUCCUGUGUCAUAUUGUGUGAAUUAGUGUUUCCUGUUUUACUUUGACAGUGUCACGUCCUGUGUUCAGUGUGUGUAGCUUUGCUUCCUGUGUGUCGUCAGGUCCACUCUCCCUAAUGACCCUUGUGUGCUUAUGUUGUGUCUGUUUUCCUCUGUCAGGUUGCCUGUUUCCUGUGUCUCUCACGUCCUGGUCCAGUUCAUCCUGGUCUCAUGUUCCAGUUGUUCUUGUUUUUUGCUUUAUUUUCCCCAGUUUAGUCAGUGAGUCCAGUCCUGGUUUCACAUUUUAUGUAUGUCAACAUUUCCAGC
ensembl:lncRNA